GUUUUUAUGGUGUAAUCAACACAUUGUAUUUUCAUUACAAAACUGAAAUUUUAAUUUCUAAAAAUU
rnacentral:tRNA from 2 species